rnacentral:rRNA from 1 species
UACGUAGGCAGCGAGCGUUGUUCGGAUUUACUGGGCGUAAAGGGCUCGUAGGCGGCCAACUAAGUCGGAUGUGAAAUCCCCAAGCUUAACUUGGGAACUGCAUCCGAUACUGGAUGGCUUGAAUCCGGGAGAGGGAUGCAGAAUUCCAGGUGUAGCGGUGAAAUGCGUAGAUAUCUGGAGGAAUACCGGUGGCGAAGGCGGCAUCCUGGACCGGCAUUGACGCUGAGGAGCGAAAGCUAGGGGAGCAAACGGG